AUAGGAAUAAGGAUAUUAAGUGUCACGUGUCAUGUUCUUAUUAACUAUGCAUUUUAUCGUUCAUAAAAUCAACAUCCAAUCAGAACAUGAUAUGUAACGGUCAUCGUCC
rfam:Glycine soja cultivar W05 scaffold1815_8, whole genome shotgun sequence.